rnacentral:rRNA from 1 species
ACGGGGAGCACCACAACAGGUGGAGCCUGCGGUUUAAUCGGACUCAACGCGGGAAACUCACCAGAUAAGACAGCUGAAUGAUAGUCGGGCUGAAGACUCUACUUGACUAGCUGAGAGGAGGUGCAUGGCCGUCGUCAGUUCGUACUGUGAAGCAUCCUGUUAAGUCAGGCAACGAGCGAGACCCACGCCAACAGUUGCCAGCUCGUCCUCCGGGAUGGUGGGGACACUGUUGGGACCGCCUCUGCUAAAGAGGAGGAAGGAAUGGGCAACGGUAGGUCAGCAUGCCCCGAAUUAUCUGGGCUACACGCGGGCUACAAUGGGUGGGACAAUGGGUAUCGACACCGAAAGGUGAAGGCAAUCUCCUAAACCCAUCCGUAGUUCGGAUUGUGGGCUGCAACUCGCCCACAUGAAGCUGGAAUCUGUAGUAAUCGUGUCUCAAAAUGGCACGGUGAAUAUGUCCCUGCUCCUU